rnacentral:lncRNA from 1 species
CCAUAGGAUGAUGCCCUGAGCAGGUCUCAGGUCAGGAGGAGUACAGCAUAAGAUGGUAGUAGGAUCAAGCAAUCUGGCUCGACUCUCAUGUUUGUCCAUCCAUGAUCAGCAGGCAAUUACCCCAGGGCAUGAAGGCGAGGAGAUCCAGAAGCUCUCGGAGUCAGGAAGAAGCCAAAUAUCGAGUCAAGAUGGAGAUUGUUAGAAUUUGAUACCU